rnacentral:rRNA from 1 species
GACCUGGCUGGGUGGUCUUGCCGAAAGGUAAGCACUGCCUCUGGUCGGGUCUUUCCUUCUGGGGAACCUGCGUGCGCUUAAUUGUGUGCGUAGGGGAUCCAGGACUUUUACUUUGAAAAAAUUAGAGUGUUUAAAGCAGGCUUUCGCUUGAAUACAUUAGCAUGGAAUAAUAGAAUAGGACUUUGGUUCUAUUUUGUUGGUUUCUAGGACCGAAGUA